UACGUAGGGGGCAAGCGUUGUCCGGAAUCAUUGGGCGUAAAGCGCGUGUAGGCGGUCCGGUAAGUCCGCUGUGAAAGUCGGGGGCUCAACCCCGGGAGGCGGAUGGAUACUGCUUGGCUCGAGUCCGGAAGAGGCGAGUGGAAUUCCCGGUGUAGCGGUGAAAUGCGCAGAUAUCGGGAGGAACACCAAUGGCGAAGGCAGCUCGCUGGGACGGUACUGACGCUGAGACGCGAAAGCGUGGGGAGCAAACAGG
rnacentral:rRNA from 1 species